GAUGAAGAACGCAGCGAAAUGCGAUACGUAAUGUGAAUUGCAGAAUUCAGUGAAUCAUCGAAUCUUUGAACGCAUAUUGCGCUCUUUGGUAUUCCGAAGAGCAUGCUUGUUUGAGUAUCAGUAAACACCUCAAAGUCUUUUUUUUUUCUUGAAGAAAAGACCUUGGGCUUGAGCAAUCCCAACUCUUCUUUCAGAAGAGGCGGGUUGCUUGAAAUGCAGGUGCAGCUGGACAUUCUCCUGAGCUAAAAGCAUAUUCAUUUAGUCCCGUCAAACGGAUUAUUACUUUUGCUGCAGCUAACAUAAAGGGAGUUUGACCAUUUUGGCUGACUGAUGCAGGAAUUUCACAAGAGUCUUCAAAACGCUCUUGUUAAACUCGAUCUCAAAUCAAGUAAGACUACCCGCUGAACUUAAGCAUAUCAAUAAGCGGAGGA
rnacentral:misc_RNA from 1 species